UUCUCUGUUGCACACCAUCAGUUCUCUGUUGGCAGGUUUAUUUCAGUAGUGAGAAGAUAGUAAACCCAAGAUUUGGAAAAGGGUUAUUCUUCUUUUGGAUGAUUCUGUGAUGAAAGCAAAGGACCAGCG
rnacentral:snoRNA from 1 species